ACUGUUUUAGUCCUUGAUUUAAAUGAUUAUCAGCAAUAAUUACAUUUCUAAAGCAAUAACACUUCCCUAAAAACCAAGGACUUACUCAAAGAGGAUGCAUCACAAUAUGGACUAUAUUUCAAGACUGUUCCUUCUCACAGAAAUGCUUCUUUAAGCUUUGGGCCAGCACUGAUCUCAUGCUACUACAAGUAUGUGAUAGUGUAAUAAGGUUACAUUUGUCAUUGAGCCCCCUUUAGCAUUGCUUUAGGAGCAAACAUACACUUAUACACCUGCACAUAAACUUUGUUAUACUGAAUGAAUUGCUCAUCUCCACCAAAUAGCAGUGUGUUCAGGAAAGGCUUCUGUGCACACCUCUCAUGGGCAGAAGGCAGCUGGUGCUCACCAGAGCCCCAAGUAGCUUGGUGAAGGCUGCAAUGACACCAGCUGCAGAUGGGAAGACUGAGCAGCCCUGUGUGGGGGCAGGAGAACAGCUGAGCCUAUGGGACCAGAGUUGGAGCAGGUGCCUUGGGUUACCCUGAUCAGGAGCCAUAUAAUGGAUGGGGAGGGGGGAAUGGGGUGCUUGGAUCUAGUUUGGUGGUGUUCUGUGUGUGAUAGAGCUGCAGUUUUGUUCUGGCUUUCAGACAGAAUCAUGAAGAAGGAAAAUGAAAUAUGCCUCUGUUGGGUGACAUAAAACUCAUGUCUGGUUACCAGGAUAAACAAAUAUGUUUCUCUUGUGAAAGACUCACAGGAAGAGCCAACUGCUUUGCUGUGCCUUGGGACUGCUGUGCUUCUCAUGACAACUUGGUUCCUUGUGGGACCAGAAAUCUGCAGAGUUGCCUUGAUCUAUGAUACUCAGCAGCAACAGUUAAUUUUGUGUGGAGAGACAAAAAGAUGAUGUUGACCUUCAAGAGGGGAAAAAGCUUCACCCUACAGUUACCUGACUGCACCCACCUUCAGUAAAGGGAUUUUUACAUUUUGAUGUGAGCCUUGGUGGAGUAAAAUUUCCUUUGAGCUUGUGUGAACUCAUGUUGGUUUCUAACUGGUAACUUCAAGCUGUCCUGCCAAGGGAAUGUUCUAAUGUUAUGGGUAGUUCAGUGUCAUGUUAGUAAGUAACAUUUAAGUACAGCUUGCCUGGACUAAUCUUAAAGGUGGAAGAAUUUGAAAAUCACUUCAGGACUUUUACUUGCAUAUGCAAGUCAGUUAACAGCUCUUGGAGUUCAAGUGGGGUUUUAUCUGAUGUGUAGAGAUAGCACUGUACUUUUUCAUGGAAAUUGUUUGCUAGAUCCAGAACUCAUUAGUGAACUCUUAAUAGUUCAUCUCUGCAUUUGCCCCUGAACUGAGAUGCUGAUGGGUUGCCAAGACUUGUUUAAGCAAAAUACUCCCAGGGAAGCUCUCAGGAGUAUGAGAUCUGCACACCCUGACUUUCUCCCUUUGUCUCAGUAAAAAUAUAAAAGCUAUUUCAAGGCAUCUAAUGUUAGCAUCUGUUACUAAAAUAAAAUAAAGCAGUACAGGAUUUUUUUCCACUCUACAGCUUCAACCCUCCUUUCUGCAAUCACUUCCUCUCCCAGAACAGCUCAGCAUUAUAGCUAUUGGCACCUUGCAGCCAUGAAAUUACUCCAGGAUUAUUUCAUACAAAGGAAAAACUUAGCUGAGCAUUAAUAUUUUUAUUAAUAUAAACAAGUAGUUGCUGUAAACCCAAGUUAUUUGUCAUUCCUUCUCAAUGAAAAGCUGAAGCUGAGUUACAGCUUCUUAUUUUAAGUACGAAACGAAAUAUUUGGCAACUGCUUUAAAAACCCUUUCAUAUAAAACUUGAGAAAUGUGAUUUUUUCCCUUUUUCUGUGUGGAGUCAGGAAUUCCUCAUUUCAGGUACUAUGCCAUUUCUCUGGCUAAGUUUUGAGCCUGCUCAAAUACAUUAAUAAUAUAUAUUGCCUGUUAAAAUGACCUCUAAAAUUUGGAUAAGCUUUGGAGAAGUAUUGAAUAAUUAUGCUUUAAAAUUCUUAAAAUCUUUUUUACCUGUAUGUCAGGCUAUAUUAUUUCAGCCGCUCUUAUUUGGAUGCUACUUAGUGCCAUGCACUUUGUUAGUACUUGCCAAUUAUAAGAUAUGGAUAAUAAAAACAUAUUUGUGGUUUUUAUUUAGAAAUUCUAUUUAGAAUUUAUGUAUGAUGUGUAAUUAACUCAGUAUUACUGCAACUUGUACAAUAUCAUGGAAUAUUUCCUUCCUCAGUGUAAUAUGAUGGAACUUUAUUACUUGAAUUAGGAAGGCAAAUUAAGGGGAGACAGGAGUGCUUAAGUUUUCACUGUGCACCUUUUAAGCCAUACUGGAGCAAAUGAUGUUUCCAAGUAAUUAUUAAGAUAAACUUGUGAAUGUGAUCUGUUUUUUCCCUGAUUGUUAAUGUUCAAUGACUGAGAUGAUAAGGUUAUCCAGAAAUUAUGCACUCUGAUUUCUCCAGUACAAGGAGUCAAAGGAGGAACA